UAAGAGGUCCCGCCUGCCCAGUGACUGAACCAGUUAAACGGCCGCGGUAUUCUAACCGUGCAAAGGUAGCGCAAUCACUUGUCUUUUAAAUGAAGACCCGUAUGAAUGGCACAACGAGGGCUUAACUGUCUCCUUUUUUCGGUCAAUGAAAUUGAUCCCCCCGUGCAGAAGCGGGGAUAUUUACAUAAGACGAGAAGACCCUAUGGAGCUUUAGACGCAAACCAGACUCCGUCACUUACUCCAAAAUUAAAUGGACCAAACCAAGAAGGCCCUGUUCUUACGUCUUCGGUUGGGGCGACCAUGGGGUAAUAAAAAACCCCCACGUGGACUGGGAGCUCAACCCUUCUCUUUACCCCUCCUCCCAAAAUUUUAGAGCUACAGCUCUUACCAACAGAAUUUCUGACCAAAAAUGAUCCGGCAAUGCCGAUCAACGGACCAAGUUACCCUAGGGAUAACAGCGCAAUCCCCUUUUAGAGCCCAUAUCGACAAGGGGGUUUACGACCUCGAUGUUGGAUCAGGACAUCCUAAUGGUGCAGCCGCUAUUAAGGGUUCGUUUGUUCAACG
rnacentral:rRNA from 1 species